UACGUAGGGGGCUAGCGUUGUCCGGAAUCAUUGGGCGUAAAGCGCGUGUAGGCGGUUCGGUAAGUCCGCUGUGAAAGUCGGGGGCUCAACCCUCGAAUGCCGGUGGAUACUGUCGAACUAGAGUGCGGAAGAGGCGAGUGGAAUUCCUGGUGUAGCGGUGAAAUGCGCAGAUAUCAGGAGGAACACCAAUUGCGAAGGCAGCUCGCUGGGACGUAACUGACGCUGAGACGCGAAAGCGUGGGGAGCAAACAGG
rnacentral:rRNA from 1 species